GGUUACCCAUGGUCAACUGAAGUUCGAAGUUCAGAAGCAGAUGACCCUUCUGAAGAAUCUGCAGAAGGUCGAACGUAGCCUAGCCCUCUGUCAUGGUUCCUGUGUCAUUCACCUCACUUCACUUCAUCUCAUCAUGGAGGCAUUUCAUCAUCUCCCUUGAUCACAGAAAGAAAGCACUAUUCACAACAGCCAAGAUGUGGAAGCAAUCUAAGUGUCCAUCGACAGAUGAAUGGAUAAAGAAACUGGUAUAUACAUAUAAUGGAGUACUAUUCAGCCUUAAAAAUGAAGGACAUUCUACAAUAUGUGACAACAUGGAUGAACCUUAAGGACAUCAUGCUAAAUGAAAUACUACAUGAUUCCCUUUAUGAGGUUUAAUCGCUGUUCCAGUGACUUAUACAUUAAUGAGGGGAGCAAGAUGAAGGAUCCCUUACCAGGUGGAGAAAGAAGCUUUCUGAGUAGUGAAAGUAAGUCCGUAUGUGUGCGUGUGAGAUAAAUUGGGACAUUGGAUUCCCUGCGUGGUGAAAAAUCCGUAUCUGUGGCAUUGGCGACCUGCACCGGCAUGUGUUUUGAGAGCCACGGACAAGGGGAGACGCCCGCCCAGCUAGCUGCUCUGACCUACUAGGAAGCUCGGGAACCGUCUCUGAGGAAAACUUCCAGUGAAAGAAGACACUGAUGAUCAAAUGACACACGUGAGCAGUUGCAGACUUUUGCAGAGGGGGGCCUGCAUAAAUUCAAGGGGAAGACAGGACCGUGGGCAGACGACAUCUUCUACCUCCAGGAAGCAGGACUUAGGAUGUGGGCAGCUUCCUAAACUCGAAAACACCCGGAAGAUUUUAUUUAUUUGACAGAGAGAGAGAAGAGCAGGGGGAGUAGGAGAGGGAGAAACAGGCUCCCUGCAGAGCAGAGAGCCCGAUGCGGGACUCGAUCCCAGGACCCUGAGAUCACGAUCUGAGCCGAAGGCAGAUGCCCAACCGAUUGAGCCACCCAGGCGCCCCUCCCCCAGAGAUAGAGAGCGAGCACAAGUAGGCAGAACGGCAGACAGAGGGAGAAGGAGAAGCAGGCUCUCCGCCGAGCAGGGAGCCCGAUGCGGGGCUCGAUCCCAGGACCCCGCGAUCAUGACCUGAGUUGAAGGCAGCCGCUUAACUGACUGAGCCACUCAGGCGCCCCGCCAACCAAGUUUCUAAAGGCAGAUGAGAAGAGCAUCUCCUACGACUUGAGGCUGCUUUUUACUACAGAAGUAACACAUGUAAAAAAUUCAAAUGGUACAAAGCUACGGACAGUAAAAAGAGAAAGCAGGCAGGACGUCUGACUUUUCGAGAGACAAAUGAGAAGCAGGUGAGUGAUCUCCUUCAGUAUAAUACUGUGUAUUGUUUAAAGUGCAUUGUGAGCAAAAGUUCCACUUUAUUGCUGAAAAGAUGCAAGUGAUUUUUUUUUUUUUCUGUCCAAGUUAGGAACAUAUUCCAUUCUGAAGAAAUGAAACAGCUAGCUGAAGAGCUAUGGGGAGAAAGGAUUAGGGAUGCAACUAAGAAUAUAAAGGCCAGUCUCCUAGAUCCCAGUCUCCAGAGAAGUUGUUCCACCACAAAGACAAAAGGGACUUUGAAUAUCAUUGGACAUGGAAAGAUACCUUAUGUAAGGGCUGGGAGAAGGUCCAGAUUUAGGGCUUAUUCAAUAUCCUGUGAUCUCUAACCACCUAUGCCUACAUUUAACACUUCCCCUCUUUCCUCAGCAUCUUUUAAAAACAACCUUUGAGUUUGCAUCAGUGGUAGGGUGGUCAUGUAGGUUUCUUUUUUACAUCAUCUCCAGUUCCCAGCAAGCUUCUUAGAGAAAUGCUGAGAAGAAAAGGAGAAGCUUUGCAUCUGUUCUGCCGACGUCUUCCUGCUCCCUGGACUCCUACCUGUUGUCUAUCUAAUUUAGAAGAAGAGUGAUUUUUAUCAAAGCAGGAUGCGAUGAGUGGGAGCAUUUUCCCUGUGCUGGUGAGCGGCCGCUCAGAAGCCCAAACCCCAGCCUCAUGUCAGGGGACAGGCCCUGCCUGGCAUUCUUGGCGAGGCUGUCUUGGAAGUAGGUAGCACCCUCUCCUGGGCUAAAUCCAAAUAUUUUCUAUUUGUCCUGAAAUCAUCUAGGAUAAUAACCGACAUUUACCUUUCUCUGGCCAGCUCUGCCCCAUCACUGCCCCCUCCUGGCCCCAUCUAUUUUUUUUUUUUUUUUUUUUAAUGCUACCCUGAACUCUUUGCGAGUCCACAGGAAUAACAUCUGAGAUUACAACUCCCAUGUGUUGGGGAACAAACACUUACGUGAGUACUUACCAUGUGCAGGACACCAGGGCAAGCGUGUGAACGAAGGGAAAGAAGAGCUUGUAGUCAGUAUAGAUGAGGAAUAUGAAGAAUGAAUACCUAAACGCACAGAAAAGACUAUUUUAAACCAUCACAAGGCACCGAGUGUGCUGAAGGCACCCUGGGUAUGGCAGAAAUCCCAGAGCGGUGAGGUGAGGUCUGUGGCCUGGCAGUCCCUUUGUGACAUGCUAGGAGAGGACUUGCCGAUAGGGUGGUCAGUCCUCACCCGUAGUAGUGUGGACGUAGAUGUACUGGAAGGUUCUUUUAUUGAUCAAGUGAACAUAAAACUGGACAUCUUCCCCCCAACCCCUACCACCACCAUCCACAUUCCUCUUUUUUCUUCACCAGUCAUUAGACUCCUCAUUGACAUUUGCAGAAAAAUAAGAGAUAUUAAUGGCAUCUUCUCAAUCCCACUCAGCAUUCUAGUUUCUGUUUCAUCCAGACGUUUAUUCUAAUUGGCAUGCAAGUUCUGCUUUAUUUAGCUCUGUCUAUAUGCUGAAGACCAUGGGCAUUGUCCAGUUGAUCUCAUAAAUCGAGUAUUAUGUCUGUUUUGCUUGUUCAGUUUUCAAUUCAAUAAUGAUAAAAAAUAAUAAUGAGAGUGUCACUUAGUGAGUCCUUACAUGAAGCCAGGCACAGAAUAAUUUCAUCUUUUUUCGUCUGAUGCUUGCAGUUACCUGAGGGGCUAAGAACCAUCUUUAUUAUCCCUGCUUUUACAGAUGCGGAAAUUAAGGUUCAGAGGCGUUCAGUAACUUGCCUAAGUGGCAGGGAUGGGAUGUGAGCGGUGAGUCUAGCUCUAGAGACCUUGUUCUUCUCCACGGUGUACAUUAUAUACCUGAGCAUUCGCAAGUAAUUAAUAAAUGUGCCGCUAAGAGACUAAAGAAAUAAUCAUGUUCCCAGGUACAGUUCAUUUCCUAAAUAUUAAUGUGAUUUGGUGUCACGGGAUUGAGCUAGGGAGGAAGUAGAACAUUUCUGAGGUCUUGGGAGCUUCUGUCACUAGAAGAGGCUGUGAGGGCAGGAUUGGCUCCCUCUCAUCUCUCAGAGCACACAGCACAGACCUUCGGGUCAUAGCCAGGACCUGAUGAAUGCUUUCUAGGUUCCAGAAAGCGCACUCGCUCAAAACCCAGCAUGCUGUUUCAUUGAAUCCUCAACCCCACGUACAGAAGAGGCUCAGAAAGGUGAAGCACCCGGCCCAGGGUCACAUGGCUAGUGGAGCAGUGGACCGAGGACCCUUGACCACUGCUCCCCUGGACUCCUCAGGUGCCAUGUGGGAGCUUCUAAGAGCCUUGCUCCCUCAGCCCAUGUAGGAAAGAUCAGAUUAUCCCCGGGGCCCCUGCACAAAUGUUCCACUACCUCCCAGAGGAUCCUCUCUGCAUGGAGGGCUCCAGUGGGCAAGACGGGGGCUGGGAAAGUUUGCUGGUUCUGAGGGCUCAAGGGAGUGGGUCUGUUUGAGGCAAACCCAGAAUGGGCCUAGAAGAAUCAUGUCAAGGCCCAGGAGAAGACUGCAGAUAUAUUUGAACUCAAAGUCUAUGAAAUGUGUCCUCCCAUUGUCUUCAGGAGCAGCAGUGGGUCUUGUGAUUCCCUAGCACCUAAUUGUGCUGGUCACACCACUGGUACUUCCUACAUACAAAGGAACGAACGAGUGAGCGAAGGAAUGAAAGAAGGACCAGGAGAAGGCAGACACUGUGUUUGGGUAGGAGUCUGCUUAGGAAUCCCUCUCCUCCAGAAACAUCUAUAAAAUAAUGGUUCUGGUUGCGUUAAUGAAAAAUCUCCAUAACAUCCAUUUUCAACUGGAUUUUGAGUGGGGCGCUCUGGAGACAGAAUGCCUGUGUUCUGAUUCUUGUCCUGCCACUCUUAGCUCGUUACCUGUGGCCAGUCACUGACCCUCUGAGGUCUCAGUAUCCACUGCAGGGUUGCUGUGAGUUCAUGCAGGUGCUGCGUCUGGCUGGAAAGCGCCAGGUCCGGGAAUCCCAACCCCAGUGGGACAGGCCUGCGGAAUCCGUGCGGCCCCUGUGCUUUCCAGCGGCAACAGGAAACUUUCUCCCUCGGCAUGUGAGCGUAAAAUUCUCAGUCCCAAGUUGAACCCAAAUGUAGAGCGGCAAACACUUGGCCCCAAAUAUAAUUUCCUCCUGCAGCUCAUUGCAGCCGUGAGGAAACCGCGGGGGGAGGGCCCGGCAGUGUGGUGUGGCAGCCCCGUAAUUUCCAGAGCCCUUCUCCUAGACUGACACAUAAUUGUCAGAUUGUUUUAUGAGAGCUGCUUCCUGCCCCCUUCCUGCCUCGCUUCCAAAUGUGCUCAUUCCCGAGGAAACAUCACCUCUCCCUCUCGCCCUUAAUCGCCCCUUUCCUGCUCACCCCGGCCCUGGGGCUGGGGUGAUUUCCUAAAUCACUCAGCUCGGCUUCCAGGGCUGGCGCAGGCACCCAGGGUGGGCUAGCAGAGAGGCAGCAUUUGUUCUAAGUGGCCUGUGACCUGGAGGUCAGAGAUGCUUCCAUUCUGUUUGAUGUCUUUCCCGGGAGGCCUUCCCUCACUCACCUCUUCUCCUUUCCUCCUGAGCUGGCUUUAAUUCUGAGGUCAGGAAGAGAUUAAGGAACUGAGUCCUGCUGCUUUUUCUAUCCAUUGUGGUGGUAAAGGCCCAAGUGGGUCAGGGGCAGGCAGGCUGGAAGUGACAGGGGUCUUCAGCCUCAUCCACAUCCAAACUCGGGGACUCUCCGAAUAUUCCAUUUAGAGCUGUGUUCUGAAAGAUUCAUCCAAGAGAUUCCUCUCCUUAUGGGCACUUUCCCCUCUGCCUCCAGACACUCGUUCUUAAGAAGAAAUGUUAAGUCCUAACAUUUUCCCCCCAUUUGAGAAAUUUCAGAGGAAGCAACAUGGUUCUUUUUGUAUUUUAACUACAUUUUUUUUUUUUAUUACUAAAGCGUUACACAGUCAUGGUAAAAAUUUCAAACAGAAUCGUUUCCAGACGUAACCACAGUUUAACAGAAUUUUGUAUAUCCUUCCAGAAAUGUUCUAGGAACCUACAAGCAUACAAAUGUAUAUAUAUUUUUAACACAAAUGGGAGCAUAUUGGACAUCUUGUUCUACAACUUGUUAUUUUUACUUAGCACAUUUUGGAUGUUUCCUAUUUCAGUAAAUCUAGAUUUACUAAAAAAAAUUGCCAAGUGGUGUUCUCUUGUGUAAAUGUACUAACGUAUUUAACCAGUUCCAUUCUAAUGAAUAUUUCAGUGGUUUCCACUUUAUUACAAACAAUAGUACAAUAAGUAUCCCAAAUCUAUAUCCAUAUCCUGUAUUUUUAGAAUAACUUCCACUCAGAGGUGGUUUUGUUUGUUUUUUUUUUGGGGGGGGGGUUUUAAUAGAUUAAAGGACUUGGGAAGAUAAAAUCGUAUGGAUGUUGUUAAGUUGUGUUUCAAAAAGAUUUGCCGGUUUAAACUCAAGAGUGAAUGUAUGGGAAUGCCUGAUUAUGCAUCCUGUCACCAGUACACGUAUAAUUACACUUUUUAGCUUUGCCAGUGUUGAAAUAAAUGAAUUUUAUGAUUUUUUAAAGUAAUAGUUUGUUAGGAGUGGGCUUCCAAUCUUACUCCCAAAUAAUGAGCAUCUUUUUGUAUAAGCUUUCUGCUUGUGUAAGUUUGACUCUCUUCCUAUUACUUAUCUGCCUCUUAUUGACUUGAAGAUCUCUUUAUAUCUGAAGGAAAAUAACCCUUUUCUGGUCUUAGGUAUUAUCAGUAGGUCCUCACUAUAUCAGCUGCCAUUUAGUUUUGUUUAUGGUAUUUUUUCCAUGUAACCUCUGAAAAUUAUUUAAAUGACAAAUUUUUCAAAAUUAUCCAUUUUUUCUUCAUUUUUAUUGUUACUGUUUUUUUGGUUCUGGACAUGCUUAGAAACUGUCCCAGAAACUAAGAUGUUGUUAUUGUUGUUGUUUUUAAUCACCCAUCUUUCUAUUUUUUAUAUUUAAAUCUUUAAUCCAAGUAAAAUUUGGGGGGAAGACCAAAUCAUCCCAUAGAGAUUGACUUUAUGUCUCACUUGUCAAAACAGUUGUUUCAUACAAUCCAUUAACUAAUACAUCUUUUCGAGAGGAGAGGAAAGAUGGCAGAGUAGGGGACCCUAUUUCAUCUCGUCCCCGGAAUUGAGCUGGAUAUCUACCAGACCACUCUGAGCACCCACGAAACCAGCCUGAGAUGUAAGAAGAUCUGGAUCUCUACAAACAGAAUAUCGCAGGUGGUUGGUUUUGAGGUACGAAGCGGGGAGCCGUGAUUCAGUGGGCAGAUAUCAGAGGAUAAACGGCAGCGGGAGGGUGCCUGGCCGUGGGGAUCCUACACCGCCGGUGAGUGACAGCCUCGCGUGCUGGGGACAGGGCACAGACUCGCAGACCAGUAGCUGCGGGGAAAGGA